CCUGGCUCAGGGAUGAACGCUAGCGGCAGGCCUAACACAUGCAAGUCGAGGGGUAAGUGUUCAGCUUGCUGAACACACGACCGGCGCACGGGUGAGUAGCACGUUUGCAACCUACCUCUAACUGGGGGAUAGCCCGAAGAAAUUCGGAUUAAUACCCCAUAAGUGUUAGUUUGAGGCAUCUCAAAUUGAUUAAAGCUCCGGCGGUUAGAGAUGGGCAUGCGUGUCAUUAGCUAGUUGGUGAGGUAACGGCUCACCAAGGCCACGAUGACUAGGGGGUCUGAGAGGAUGAUCCCCCACACUGGUACUGAGACACGGACCAGACUCCUACGGGAGGCAGCAGUGAGGAAUAUUGGGCAAUGGACGCAAGUCUGACCCAGCCAUGCCGCGUGCAGGAUGACUGCCCUAUGGGUUGUAAACUGCUUUUGUUUGGGAAGAACUCCCCGAUCGUGAUCGGGGCUGACGGUACCUUACGAAUAAGCAUCGGCUAACUCCGUGCCAGCAGCCGCGGUAAUACGGAGGAUGCAAGCGUUAUCCGGAUUCAUUGGGUUUAAAGGGUGCGCAGGCGGAAUAUUAAGUCAGUGGUGAAAUCCUGCAGCUUAACUGUAGAACUGCCAUUGAUACUGGUAUUCUUGAAUGUAGUUGAGGUGGGCGGAAUGUGUAAUGUAGCGGUGAAAUGCUUAGAUAUUACACAGAACACCAAUUGCGAAGGCAGCUCACUAAACUAUGAUUGACGCUGAGGCACGAAAGCGUGGGUAGCAACCAGGAUUAGAUACCCUGGUAGUCCACGCCGUAAACUAUGAUCACUCGCUGUUGGCAAUACAUCGUCAGCGGCUGAGCGAAAGCAUUAAGUGAUCCACCUGGGGAGUACGGUCGCCAGAUUGAAACUCCAAGGAAUUGACGGGGGCCCGCACAAGCGAGGAACCUGUGGUUUACUUCGAUGAUACGC
rnacentral:rRNA from 1 species